UACGUAGGUGGCAAGCGUUAUCCGGAUUUAUUGGGCGUAAAGGGAACGCAGGCGGUCUUUUAAGUCUGAUGUGAAAACCUUCGGCUUAACCGGAGUAGUGCAUUGGAAACUGGGAAACUUGAGUGCAGAAGAGGAAAGUGGAAUUCCAUGUGUAGCGGUGAAAUGCGCAGAGAUAUGGAGGAACACCAGUGGCGAAGGCGACUUUCUGGUCUGUAACUGACGCUGAUGUGCGAAAGCGUGGGGAUCAAACAGG
rnacentral:rRNA from 1 species